rnacentral:misc_RNA from 1 species
GAUGAAGAACGCAGCGAAAUGCGAUAAGUAAUGUGAAUUGCAGAAUUCAGUGAAUCAUCGAAUCUUUGAACGCACCUUGCGCCCUUUGGCUAUUCCGAAGGGCAUGCCUGUUUGAGUAUCAUGAACACCUCAACUCUCAUGGUUUGCCAUGAUGAGCUUGGACUUUGGGGGUCUUGCCGGCCUAUGGGUCGGCUCCUCUCAAAUUAAUCAGCUUGCCAGUGUUUGGUGGCAUCACAGGUGUGAUAACUAUCUACGCUUGUGGUUUUCCAUCAGGUAACCUUCAGUGAUGGAGGUUCGCUGGGGCUCAUAAAUGUCUCUCCUCAGUGAGGACAGCUUUUUUGAACGUUUGAUCUCAAAUCAGGUAGGACUACCCGCUGAACUUAAGCAUAUCAAUAAGCGGAAGA